rnacentral:lncRNA from 1 species
CAGGCAAGUUCAUUUUGGGAACCCGGGCCCCGGUCCAGAUUGAAUCCUCAGGGUGAACCACACGCGUGCGUACGGCGUGCCAUAAACAGUAAACACUUCCUGCCAAAUAGUGGUCCCUAACAACAGACAAAGCGGUGUGGAAUCAAUACGAAGCCAUUCAACAACAACAACAAAACACAAUACCCCAAUGUGUCCAGACAGCCUCCCCAAGAAGUAGAGAGUAGAGACAUGUCAGGAGGAAGUGGCUCAGCGCAUAUGGACGACUCGCAGGACCUGCCUGACUUGCCGACCAAGAAGGCCAGACAUGAGCUGGACGUUGGACUGAACCAAGAGCCAAGGUAAUGCUGACCAGAGUAUGUGAGCGGUGCUGGAGCGCAGCGAGACCAAUUUGACUGGGGUGCGGAGUGAGAUAUCCAAAGGCUGGAGCGCAUCAGCCUUCUCGCCUGCUCCAGUAGCGCUCACCUCACGAGCUCAGGGCAUGCCCGGCCCAGCAUGCAUCUGUAGUCUACAUGUGUGCUGCUAUAGCCCCUUGCUUUAGCUACUGUCUUGCAGUUCGCUAAAUAUUUUCAGAAAGAAGCUGAUAAAACACACAGGUGCUAAAACAAGGUGACUUACAAAGAUGAGGACCAAGAGAGGGAGUGUGGUGAUGUAAUGUCCUAAACUAAAGAAUCAUUGUGGAAUCU